rnacentral:rRNA from 1 species
AAAAAACAUAGCUUUAUGUUAUUUAUAUAAAGUAAUACCUGCCCAGUGAUUUACUUUAAACGGCCGCAGUACUUUGACUGUGCUAAGGUAGCAUAAUAAAUUGGCUUUUAAUUGGAGUCUAGAAUGAACGGAUAAAUGAAUAAAACCUUUCUAAAUUUAAAUUUUAUGAAAUUACUCAAAAGGUGAAAAUUCCUUUAAUAAUUUAAAUAGACGAGAAGACCCUAGGAGUUUUAUUUUUGUUGGGGCGACAUUGCAGCAAAUAUGUAAACCUGUAAUAAAAAAUAAUUUUUUAAAAAAAACUUUUAAUAAAAAAUAAACUACCCUAGGGAUAACAGCAUAAUUUAAGAUUAAGAUUGUGACCUCGAUGUUGGACUAGGAAAGUUUAAUAUUAACUAUAUUAAAGUUUUGUUCUGUUCGAACAGUAUUUCCUACAUGAUCUG